rnacentral:tRNA from 1 species
GGGGUUGUGGCUCAGAGGUAGAGUGCUCACCUAGCAUGCGUGAGGCACUGGGUUCAAUCCUCAGCACCACA